rnacentral:rRNA from 1 species
CUACGGGCGGCUGCAGUCGGGAAUAUUCCACAAUGGACGAAAGUCUGAUGGAGCGACACCGCGUGCAGGAUGACGGCCCUCGGGUUGUAAACUGCUUUUAUUAAUUAGAAAUUUUGAUCAGUUAAUGAAUAAGUGGCGGCUAAUCACGUGCCAGAAGCCUCGGUAAAACAUGGCCACAAGCGUUAUCCGGAAUUAUUGGGCGUAAAGCGUCCGCAGCCGGGUCAGGCAGUCGGAUGUCAAAACACAGGGCUCAACUCUGUGUCCGUAUCCGAAACUACUGAUCUAGAGCAAGUCAGCAGGUGCAUGGAAGUCCUGGAGCAGGGGUGAUAUCCGUAGAUACCAGGAGGAACACCAAAAGCGAAGGCAGUGCACUGGGGCUUUGCUGACGGUCAGGGACGAAAGCGUGGGGAGCAAAAAGGAUUAGAUACCCGGGUAGUC